rnacentral:rRNA from 1 species
UACGUAGGGUGCGAGCGUUGUCCGGAAUUAUUGGGCGUAAAGGGUGCGUAGGCGGCUUUUUAAGUUUGGUGUGAAAUCUCCCGGCUCAACUGGGAGGGUGCGCCGAAUACUGAGAGGCUAGAGUGCGGGAGAGGAAAGUGGAAUUCCUGGUGUAGCGGUGAAAUGCGUAGAUAUCAGGAGGAACACCGGUGGUGUAAACGGCUUUCUGGACCGUAACUGACGCUGAGGCACGAAAGCGUGGGUAGCAAACAGG